GACAGAGGGGGCAAGCGUUGCUCGGAAUUACUGGGCGUAAAGGGCGCGUAGGCGGACAGCUUAGUCAGAGGUGAAAGCCCAGGGCUCAACCUUGGAAAUGCCUUUGAUACUGGCUGUCUUGAGUUCGGGAGAGGUGAGUGGAAUGCCGAGUGUAGAGGUGAAAUUCGUAGAUAUUCGCAAGAACACCAGUGGCGAAGGCGGCUCACUGGCCCGAUACUGACGCUGAGGCACGAAAGCGUGGGGAGCAAACAGG
rnacentral:rRNA from 1 species